AUUGGAAACAUGUUUCCUUCCAUGGAUAACCUUUAUCCAACAAACCAGUCGCACCCAUGCAUUAACAUCGCUUACAAUUGGCUACAAGGCGAAAAUGCUAGUUGUCAAUCCAAGACUUAAAGAACACUAAACCGAGUCUUAUGUAUUUUACUUAAGGAUUCAUAUGAUGAAAAAUAAAUAAAAAAAGGAAACAAAAAUCCAUGGCAAACGAUGGGAUCCGGACCCACGUCUAUAAAGAAAAACAACUGGGCAAAAAAAUUUGGUUCCACCGUAUUAUAUACUUGAGACAUCCGAAGAAACUGAGGUGCCGUAUGGAUUUUGGUUCUAAUGGCAACAUUUUAUGGCCGAUUCGCCCUUAGUGAAAUGAUUGGGCGGGAAACUGUUUUAGCCCAAAGGCAUUAGGGGAUAAACCAGCCGGUCCCAUGGUCAAACCGCUAUUGUUAUGACACAUUCAGGCCUGGUCCAGUUUGGAUAAAAAGCGGGUUCUUAAGAAUGGAUGGAUGACCUUGGGAGACUACGUACUACAAGUGAAUGAAACAUGACUUCUUUCAUUCAUUCA